CAUAUCAAUAAGCGGAGGAAAAGAAACCAACAGGGAUUGCCUUAGUAACGGCGAGUGAAGCGGCAAAAGCUCAAAUUUGAAAUCUGGCACCUUCGGUGUCCGAGUUGUAAUUUGAAGAAGGUAACUUUGGAGUUGGCUCUUGUCUAUGUUCCUUGGAACAGGACGUCACAGAGGGUGAGAAUCCCGUGCGAUGAGAUGCCCAAUUCUAUGUAAAGUGCUUUCGAAGAGUCGAGUUGUUUGGGAAUGCAGCUCUAAGUGGGUGGUAAAUUCCAUCUAAAGCUAAAUAUUGGCGAGAGACCGAUAGCGAACAAGUACAGUGAUGGAAAGAUGAAAAGAACUUUGAAAAGAGAGUGAAAAAGUACGUGAAAUUGUUGAAAGGGAAGGGCUUGAGAUCAGACUUGGUAUUUUGCGAUCCUUUCCUUCUUGGUUGGGUUCCUCGCAGCUUACUGGGCCAGCAUCGGUUUGGAUGGUAGGAUAAUGACUAAGGAAUGUGGCUCUACUUCGGUGGAGUGUUAUAGCCUUGGUUGAUACUGCCUGUCUAGACCGAGGACUGCGUCUUUUGACUAGGAUGUUGGCAUAAUGAUCUUAAGCCACCCGUCUUGAAACCACGG
rnacentral:rRNA from 1 species